CCACCUUAGGCACACCCUUAUAGAGGGAGGUCAGGCCCAUCUAGAGCAGAACAUGGGAAGCAGUUCAUUUGGACAAGGCCAGAUAUCCCUCUGGGCAGUGUAGAGCUACUGAAAGAGAAGACCCACAAUCCCUGCAGUGAAAAAAAGAAGAGAAGGACCGUUUCAGCACAGAAACUUAAAGACAAGGUGACCAGGUGAGCCAGCAGCUUUCAGAGACCCCGUGUACGGGCUGUGAAAACAAAGAAAGGGAACUGGCCUGCAUAAUCUGGCCUUUAUCACCUGUCCGAAGAGCCCAACUGCAAGCAAGAUGCCCCUGAACGAGUCCAAGAGAGUGCGGGCAAGUUCAGCACCACCAGUACUGGCCCAAAAAAUCCAGGUCAAGCGGGGCCGGAAAAGAACCCGCCAAGACCAGGGAACCACAAACCCUGCAAAGAAGACCAGAGAGUGUCACGACCUGAGAGGCAGCAAAACUGAGUAUAAUCUGAGAAGUGACCCAAGGUCUCGCUACCGCGAUUGAGAGGCUGAGAUAAUUGGAAAACUGCACAUCAGCACUUACUAGUGAUGGUGCCAUUAAAGCUGCCUCUGUGAACCUGCAAA